AUAAGUGGUAGAAAGAGAGAGGUUUGCCCAUAUUCAGUGUUCUGACAUGAAUAUCUGGAUGAUAAAUAAUCUGACACU